AGAAUCAACGCUGGCGGCGUGCCUAACACAUGCAAGUCGAACGAGAAAGUGGAGCAAUCCAUUAGUAAAGUGGCGCACGGGUGAGUAACACGUGACUAACCUACCCUUGAGUGGGGGAUAACCUAGGGAAACCUGGGCUAAUACCGCAUAAUACCUUCGGGUCAAAGGAGCAAUUCGCUUAAGGAGGGGUCGCGGCCGAUUAGUUAGUUGGCGGGGUAAUGGCCCACCAAGACUAUGAUCGGUAUCCGGCCUGAGAGGGCGCACGGACACACUGGAACUGAAACACGGUCCAGACUCCUACGGGAGGCAGCAGUGGGGAAUUUUGCGCAAUGGGGGAAACCCUGACGCAGCAACGCCGCGUGGAGGAUGAAGCCCCUUGGGGCGUAAACUCCUUUCGAUCGGGACGAUAAUGACGGUACCGAGAGAAGAAGCCCCGGCUAACUUCGCGCCAGCAGCCGC
rnacentral:rRNA from 1 species